rnacentral:rRNA from 1 species
CGCUACGAACCCUUUAACAGCAACAGCAUUAAUAUACGCUUUUGGAGCUGGAAUUACCGCGGGUGSUGGCACCAGACUUGUCCUCCAAUUGUUACUCGAUUUUCGAUGGAUUUAAAUAUCCCCCAUUGAAAACGACAAUACCAAAAGGUACUGUCGGCUCUAUUUCUUUUCGCUGCCUCAUCGUUUUUUUUUGACAUUGGGCAAUUUGCGCGCCUGCUGCCCUCCGUAAAAGUGGUAGCUAUUUCUCAGGCUCCCUCUCCGGAAUCSAACCCUAAUCCCCCGCUCCCGUCAACGCCAUGGCAGUCCACUACACGGCCAUCGCUGGCUGAUA